AGUAGCCUGUUGAACUGAUUUGUAGGCUUGAAUUGCUUUAAGAUCGUAUCCACAUACUGCUGCCGUAUCGAGAGCUUGCCUUAAAGACACACAGAUUUGGCUCGGUUUGGCUUUAUUUUCCUACUAAUUUAGUCCGGUCCUGUUCAGAUUCCAGAAGUGCAAACUGACAGAAAAGCACAGCUCUGCCCUUCAGACAGGAAAUGAAGAGGAAAGAUGAGAUGUGAUAAGCUGCUGUCACUGAGUGUCUGUGUCUGUCUUAUCCUCCACUGAUCUGACACCUGCUUUCUUUCACUUUCACAGUAUUUUAUACUGAAGUUCUCUGUCUUUCCAUUAACCGGUUAUGGAAAUCAUUCAAACAGAAAACAUGUGGAGCAGCUUUCUGCCUAGCAUUCCUUUCCCUCUACUGCAGUGGUUGGUGUGAACAUUACCUGAAGCGACUGGCCCAGCUUCAGAUCAUACCAUUGCACUGAUGUGACAUGUUUGGCUGAUUAGAUCACUGCAUGAAUAAGUAACUGUACA
rnacentral:lncRNA from 1 species